rnacentral:rRNA from 1 species
UGAGCAAUCUGCCCUUCUCAUCGGAAUAAGCGUUGGAAACGACGUCUAAUGCCGAAUACGACCUCAUUUCGCAUGAUCGGAGGUGGAAAGCUCCGGCGGAGAAGGAUGAGCUCGCGGCCUAUCAGCUAGUUGGUGUGGGUAAUGGCCCACCAAGGCGACGACGGGUAGCCGGCCUGAGAGGAUGACCGGCCACACUGGGACUGAGACACGGCCCAGACCUCUACGGGA